AUUGAACGCUGGCGGCAGGCCUAACACAUGCAAGUCGAACGGUAACAGGAAACAGCUUGCUGUUUCGCUGACGAGUGGCGGACGGGUGAGUAAUGUCUGGGAAACUGCCUGAUGGAGGGGGAUAACUACUGGAAACGGUAGCUAAUACCGCAUAACGUCGCAAGACCAAAGAGGGGGACCUUCGGGCCUCUUGCCAUCGGAUGUGCCCAGAUGGGAUUAGCUAGUAGGUGGGGUAACGGCUCACCUAGGCGACGAUCCCUAGCUGGUCUGAGAGGAGGACAAGCCACACUGGAACUGAGACACGGUCCAGACUCCUACGGGAGGCAGCAGUGGGGAAUAUUGCACAAUGGGCGCGAGCCUGAUGCAGCCAUGCCGCGUGUAUGAAGAAGGCCUUCGGGUUGUAAAGUACUUUCAGCGGGGAUGAAGGGAGUAAAGUUAAUACCUUUGCUCAUUGACGUUACCGGCAGAAGAAGCACCGGCUAACUCCGUG
rnacentral:rRNA from 1 species